UGGGGAAUUUUGGACAAUGGGCGCAAGCCUGAUCCAGCAAUGCCGCGUGAGUGAAGAAGGCCCUCGGGUUGUAAAGCUCUUUUGUCAGGGAAGAAAAGGUGAUCUCUAAUACAGGUCACUCAUGACGGUACCUGAAGAAUAAGCACCGGCUAACUACGUGCCAGCAGCCGCGGUAAUACGUAGGGUGCAAGCGUUAAUCGGAAUUACUGGGCGUAAAGCGUGCGCAGGCGGUUAUAUAAGUCAGAUGUGAAAUCCCCGGGCUCAACCUGGGAACUGCAUUUGAGACUGUAUGGCUAGAGUGUGUCAGAGGGGGGUAGAAUUCCACGUGUAGCAGUGAAAUGCGUAGAUAUGUGGAGGAAUACCGAUGGCGAAGGCAGCCCCCUGGGAUAACACUGACGCUCAUGCACGAAAUCGUGGGGAGCAAACA
rnacentral:rRNA from 1 species